rnacentral:misc_RNA from 1 species
GAUGAGAACGUGGCGAAAUGCGAUAAGUAAUGUGAAUUGCAGAAUUCAGUGAAUCAUCGAAUCUUUGAACGCACAUUGCGCCCCCUGGUAUUCCGGGGGGCAUGCCUGUUCGAGCGUCAUUUCACCACUCAAGCCUCGCUUGGUAUUGGGCAACGCGGUCCGCCGCGUGCCUCAAAUCGACCGGCUGGGUCUUCUGUCCCCUAAGCGUUGUGGAAACUAUUCGCUAAAGGGUGUUCGGGAGGCUACGCCGUAAAACAACCCCAUUUCUAAGGUUGACCUCGGAUCAGGUAGGGAUACCCGCUGAACUUAAGCAUAUCAAUAAGCGGAGGA